UACGGAGGGUGCAAGCGUUAUCCGGAAUCAUUGGGCGUAAAGAGCUCGUAGGCGGUUCAUCAAGUCGGCUGUGAAAUUCCGAGGCUUAACCUCGGAAUUGCAGUCGAUACUGUUGUGACUCGAGUCCGGUAGAGGAGAAUGGAAUUCCAGGUGUAGCGGUGAAAUGCGCAGAGAUCGGGAGGAACACCAGUAGCGAAGGCGGUUCUCUGGGCCGGCACUGACGCUGAGGAGCGAAAGCGUGGGGAGCGAACAGG
rnacentral:misc_RNA from 1 species